GUUAAUUUAGAAUUCUACAUGUAUGCUUGAAUUUUGGGGGCACAAAGAUUUGUAAAUAAAAUAUCAUGAAAUUUGUAUAAAAUAAUAUUACCAGCAAUGGUGACAGAAAAUCCUGCUACUUACCGAUACACCGAGAUUGGACUAAAAAUCAUUGGGUCCUACCCUGGUACUUCAGAAUCAAAGGGAUUUAUAAUCAUAAUUAUUUUAAUUAUAAUAAAUCUUUCAUUUCAAAUUCUUAAUGCUCGAGAAGCUUAUGGAAAUAUUGAUAUAUUUAUGAAUAGUUUCGGUCCCACACUACAGAAGUCUUGCAUGAAAAUAUGAAAAUUUCAGGAAUUUUAAUUCAAGUUAUCGCGUUAAGUUACAAUAGUUUAGGCUUCUUCUGUACUUUAGCAAGUGUAUCGUCUUAUUUACAAACAAAGACUCUAGAGGGUUAACAAUAUCCGAUGUCAGCAACGUAUCCCUUUAAAAAGAAAACUUAGCGGAAUUUCGGAUUGAUUAGUCUCAUGCAAGUAAUUGAAAGUUUCAUCGUUGGUAAUGGUCAUGCAGUCAUGGAGUGUCUACUUGCACUGCUUGUAAAUCAUGUGCCAAGUUAGUUAGGCCAAAUACAUGUCAAUGUCAACAUUAAUUUUGUAAAAGUUAUAUUUUUUAAGGUAUUUCACGCUACCACUAAAGUGCAUGUAAUAAGAAAAUCUAUAAAAGAUUAUUCCAAUACUUGCUGCAAAGAAGCCAGUAUAGAUCUCUGUACUGCUGCAACGAAAAAUCUCUUGAUGAAACAUGAAAAUUAUCUGACUUUUGCGAAAAAUAUUAAACAGACAUAUUCAUACGUAGCUUUAAGUAACAUAAUUAGUGUUACUUUGCAACUAUGCGUCGUAGGAUAUGUUUUAAUAACUGUAAGAAAAUAAAAAAUCUUUUAAUAUUCUCUUCAUUUUCAUAAGGAUAAUGUGCAACAAGGAGAGGAGAAACAAGCCAAUUCUAGCGAAGGUGAGAUGCUCAGUACCAGACAAUGACAAGUGCUGAAAUACCUCAACCAGGUCUAAAGUAGCUGUUUUUUUUUUUUUUAAACGGGUCUGUGCAAUAGGCCUAUUUUCAUGCAUUUACAUCGAACGAUUUAGUCGUCCAUAAGUUCACUUAUUGCGCUCAGGUGCAAACGCUUACGCAAGGUUAUAAUUGCAUAUUCUCUUACUAGUAUAAAAAUGCACUAAUAUUAACUAAUUGAAAUGGUAAAGCGAUAGUUCAUAAAAUUCAUUGAUGAUUUCGGUCAAAUUCAAACACUCAAAAAGGCUUGUUCCAUUUCCUUGUUGCAAAAAAGUAUCAAAUUCAUAUUCUACAUUGUUCACGUAUAUAACCAAUUUAACUUUCAGAUAGUUGAAAGUAAUACAAUUUCAACGCAAUUUUUCUCCUACCUAAAUUUUGUAGCAGCUGACUUAUGGGGUGUAGGUGUAUAUAUUGCGUAUCUGGAGAAUAUUUUACCAAGCAGGUUUGUUUUACCUUGUACUCACAAUUUCUGUUCGCAUUAUCCGCAUGUUUUAUUCUUUUCAGAGUGUAUUUUGUAGAAAACUUUUAAUACAUCAAUUAAAUUAUUGUUAUGCAAACGUAUUUUUAGAAUUAUAAAAUGGUUAUAUAAAAGAAUCCACAAUUUUGUCUUCAACUGUUUAAAUCGAAUGUACGACAAACAGGCUUAGAAAUUGAAAUAAUACCCACAAAUAAUCACCCCAAACUCCUUUAUUAAAACCGCAUAUUUACCCUUUUCAUUUCGCAUCAGAUGAUAUUCUUUCCCUUCUGAUAGGAGUAAGGUCUCUUGAAGCCACUAGUAGCAGUACCAGCAGUACAUGCUCCCUCUAUAUAUUCGAUUACUGAAGGGCGCAAAACUUCUCGACUCUCUGGUUUUUUCUCUCUAACGGAGUCUUGAUUAGAGCUCUACGAUGAUUUUUGCUUGGCUGCCAAGAAAAUUAUCCGGCAGAUGGCUCUGAUAGACAGGACACUAAAGCAGCUACUCUACAAUCCGAGGAGCCUUUAUCGAGCCUUCAUUUCAGUCUACACUUCAAGACAGAGAAUGAAAUAGAAAAUCGUUAAUCUAGUGAACUAUUAGAAUGAACUACAGAUGGUUUGACAUUUUUAUUUGCCAUAUUGAUGUGAUUUUGCAAACAAAUACGUACAUACAACGUUUUUGUCCUACAACAUACAUAUUUUAACGAAGAUUCUCUAGAAAAAUACACGUUCCAGCACAUUGAAUCCUGGGGUUUUAUCCCCUGAUUGAAGAAUAUAGCAGAGUACAAAGAUGGAGAUUUUUUCCAACUUUAUGUAUACGUUUAAUUUCACUUGUGGAGGCUAAUUCUCAUCGUUACAAGACGCAAUCCAAUUUCCGUCUGGGAUGAAAUCCACUAGCAGAGACGAGAUGUAAACUGUAUCACCCAUAAUACCAGCGCAGAUUGCAGACUCAACUUUCUGAGUUUUAAUCUCGAACUUGAGAAAAGGAGGGAACAACUACAUCUGCCAGACAAGCAAUUGUACAGAUUUUGGUAGGUGCCGAAUCACAUGAUCGUAAAGGACUAAACAUUGAAUGGUAAUGAAAAUGAAGCUUAUAAGUAUCAUCAGUUAAACUAAAAUUCUUUUCUUCACAUUACUUAAGAAAAACAAAAAUCUGCACAUUAUCUAAUCAUUCAAGAUGUAUCAAGAAUAAUGCAUUGCACAAUUUACAGUUUAAAAAAUAUUCACUCAUCUCGUCACACUAAAAUCGGUAAUCGGUCCAAAAGCCUACUCCAAGAUCAAGUGGUUCUCUGACGCGCAAAUUUCAAAUUAAACACGUGCACGGCAAAGUUAGGCACAUCCGCUCAAACUGUCCGUGAAUUGAAAUUAAACGGCCAAGCGAUUUCAAUUUGGCGACAAAUCGAGCUUGCGAUAUGUCUGUACGCUGUGAGCGCGCGCAGAUCGUUAGCACGGAGAUCUACAGGGACGAGGGGUUGCCGACGGCAAAACUUGCUUAAUGAAUUUACGCGAACGCAAAGUUGUGAGUCCCGUUAACUGGCUACCGAGACUUUGAUGGUCACGGAACAAAUUUUCGAAGCUGGUCAUGAUGAGUAUCAGAUUGUAACUGACUGCCGAUGGCAUGUUAGACAUAUUUAUGAUUUAUCGCGAUUUAAAUGUGCGCAAAAUUUCGUUUAGAGAACUCAUUUAUGGGCUUCUUUGCAGAAUGAGGCUUACGGAAAUUUUUGAAGUGGCGCACUACGAGGACACUUUCAAAAGCUACUGUCUGUACAAUGGGAUCGCGCAUGCGUGGAAUCUGGAAACUUUCUCGGCUGCAGAGAGGAUUUCUCUGGGAUGGAACAGCUGGGAAAGUGGAUCCCUUGAAUUUUUGAAAUGUGUUAGGUUUUACAUAAGUUGGUAACAUGCAUGGUUCUGUUCCAAAAGGUGACUACUGAUAAACACAGGCUGAACUCUGAAGAAAUAUCACUGUCGUGUACGCUGUCUCUGAACAAAUAACUACUGAAUCAUCGCAAGGAAUUCGAAACUGCUCCAAAUCACUGAUGGACGCACGGGAAUGCAGACUGGCCUUUCUCCUGCGGCUUGAACAUUCCGGCACUAUUGCCGAGUUUCUGCCUAGCGAAGAUAGAUGGCGCACUUUACCCUCAUCAGAAUUUACGCGCAGAAUGUAUAUAUAGAGGUGUACCACCUACUCCAAAGCAGCCUUGUCGGAUCUGAUGCUAUGACCGCUCAAGUUAUAACUGCAUAUAUACAAUCAUGUGGAUGGUUACAGCUAAGAACUUUAUAAAACUGAAUAAUAAAACUGAACUUUAGAAGCUGAGAGCGAAAAAAGCUUCAUUUACUUUGCUUUCGCUGCUAUACGUCGAAAAUUUUUGUUGUUUUAUGGUCGAAAAAUGUAAGAAACGUUAGCGUAUGUUGUACACGCAACA